GUUGUGGCUCAGUGAUAGAGUGCUUGCCUUGCACGUGAGGGGUACUGAGUUCAAUCCUCUCCGCACCACA
rnacentral:tRNA from 1 species